UUGGAUACACAUGUUUAGAUCAGGUAUGAAUCAGUUCUUAUCCGGUGGAGUUUAUUUGGAUUGGUUCUUUGUGGAUCCGGCUCUAUUCGGAUUAGUUCUUUUCGGUUUUGGUUCUUUCGAGUAAAGAAAUUUGGACUCAGCUAGGUAAGUUGGUUAAGAUCUGGAUUGCAUGAUCUUCUAAAACAAUGAUGUUUAGACUUGCAAGAUCAUUCCCUAGUUUCAGGAAAGUAUCGAAGUUUUCCUCAAUGGUUUUAUGCUUAAUCAUCUUGAAGCUUGCAAAGCUUUGUUUGGGGUAUAUGCGGUUAGGAAGAGUUUGUCUAGUAAUCUCCCUGAAGUUCCUUCCACAAUCCAAUAGACGUGUUUCCUCAUGACCUUCCUCAAAACGAUGUCUGAAAGACUAGAACAUAUCAUGUUUUUUCUCUUAUAUCUUUCUUUUUGGCCAUCAGAUCUUUUACAAAUCCAUCGAUCGAUCAGAUCAUUUGAGUCGUCCACUUCAUUGUUCUGCAUUAGAUCGAUUUAUCCACAUGUGCUCUGAAACCCAGUCGAUUGAUUAUUUGAUCAUAUAAUGUUUUGCACUUCUUUUGCUUCCAAUCAUCACAAAAUCCCUUGAAAUCCCUGUAAAGCAGGUCUCCCAAAGCAUCCAUACACCUAUAAUACCUGAAAACAUAGAUAGAAGACUCCAAAAAUAUAUAGAAAACCACUAGAAACCUAUUAAUAAGUACUAAAAACCAGGAUGUGUAACCCAAAUCCUUGUGCUUUGAUACCACUUGUUAAAAUUCUUAGUUAGAAUCUAUGUUUGUUCUUCGAUCUAACUCGUUAUUCAGAUCAAGAUUGAUAAUGGUUCCAAUUCAUUGUUUAGCUAGAUAUUAGAUGAAUAAGAGAAAACACAUAUGAUUGUUGAUCCGGAUUUCAUCUACUACUAUCUGCAAAGAGAGAAACUCUCAAUUUUACACUAGAUCACAUUUACAGAUUAAACAGCUUACACCAUUUUACUAUGUUUGCAGCUUGAUUAACAAUAAAGCAGCCUCAAGGGUGGUGUACCCUGAUCAUAAUCCAACCGUACAAGAUCCGAGAAAGAAGAGAAGUUGAAGCUCCUGCACUAUCGCUCU
rnacentral:lncRNA from 1 species